rnacentral:rRNA from 1 species
GUGCCAGCCGCCGCGAUAAUACGGAGGUGGCAAGCGUUGUCCGGAUUUAUUGGGCGUAAAGCGAGCGCAGGCGGUUUCUUAAGUCUGAUGUGAAAGCCCCCGGCUCAACCGGGGAGGGUCAUUGGAAACUGGGGAACUUGAGUGCAGAAGAGGAGAGUGGAAUUCCACGUGCAGCGGUGAAAUGCGUAGAGAUGUGGAGGAACACCAGUGGCGAAGGCGACUCUCUGGUCUGUAACUGACGCUGAGGAGCGAAAGCGUGGGGAGCGAACAGGAUUAGAAACCCUGGUAGUCC